rnacentral:rRNA from 1 species
UACGUAGGUGGCAAGCGUUGUCCGGAUUUACUGGGCGUAAAGAGCGCGCAGGCGGUCGUAUAAGUCGAAUGUGAAAGCCCCCGGCUCAACUGGGGAGGGUCACGCGAUACUGUUCGACUCGAAGGCAGGAGAGGGAAGUGGAAUUCCCGGUGUAGUGGUGAAAUGCGUAGAUAUCGGGAGGAACACCAGUGGCGAAGGCGACUUCCUGGCCUGUUCUUGACGCUGAGGCGCGAAAGCUAGGGUAGCAAACGGG